rnacentral:rRNA from 1 species
AAUGGGGGAAACCCUGACGCAGCAACGCCGCGUGGGUGAUGAAGGUCUUCGGAUUGUAAAGCCCUGUUUUCUAGGACGAUAAUGACGGUACUAGAGGAGGAAGCCACGGCUAACUACGUGCCAGCAGCCGCGGUAAUACGUAGGUGGCGAGCGUUGUCCGGAUUUACUGGGCGUAAAGGGUGCGUAGGCGGAUAUUUAAGUGGGAUGUGAAAUCCCCGGGCUUAACCUGGGGGCUGCAUUCCAAACUGGAUAUCUAGAGUGCAGGAGAGGAAAGCGGAAUUCCUAGUGUAGCGGUGAAAUGCGUAGAGAUUAGGAAGAACACCAGUGGCGAAGGCGGCUUUCUGGACUGUAACUGACGCUGAGGCACGAAAGCGUGGGUAGCAAA